CGGUGCACCUGCAUCCUGACCUCCGAGGUCCUGUCCUGCACUGGGUGAAUCCUUCCCAUCCGCUGAGGGCUGCAGCAGAACCUUUCCUUGGGAGAGGCACCAAAUGCCCUUACAGCAGUGUUUGUGUGAACCUGAACAAAAAACCAACCGCUUGCAGGGGUUUGCCAGAGAUGCUCAAGUUCACACGUGCAGUGCUGUGUGCACGUGGUUAAAAGCCUGUCCCCGCACAGCGCGUGCGCAGAGUGGGUUUUGGAGGCAGAAGCCAGUGCACCACCUCGCAGUGACUGCAUCUCCACCUGGGGUGGAGGGUUGGCAUUUUGGCUACAGUCCUAGUGGCAGACUCUCGUGUUCCCAUGGAACAAGGAAUGUACAGAAAGCAUUUGGCAUUACUCGGGGUGUGACACAGCGUGCUUCAUCCCGUGUGCUCAGUGCCACCGCGCGCAGGGAAGGAUCUGCUCAGGGGAAGCUGUUCACCUUCAUCCAGCGGUACCAUGUCACCACUGAUCAGGGCCAGCCAGAAAACAAGUUCCACUUCCCGGCUCUUCCUCUUCUGGGUUGAAGGAUGAAUAGUAGAUUUGCAUAAAAUAUAAAUACAUUGUUUUGCUCCAUGUAGCCUUGUGUAUUAAAACUCCAGGAACUGCUCUUUAAAUAAAAGCUCUGUUAGCAUGA